ensembl:lncRNA
GGUAAUUUUUGGAGUGAAGGAUUGCCUUCCCAUGAUGUGGAGUUCACGUGUGUUCUUUUGUUUCAUUAGCACCAAGGUCCAUGCAGCCUUUUGUCUCAGCAUAUGGUGCCACUUUUACUUACUGUGUUAUAAUUUGGUGUGUUCUAGUUAGUGUAAAUAAGAUAAUACAUAUAUUGUGUAUACUUCCUGUUGUUGUUGUUGUUCUCUGUUCUAGCAUUUUCUGCUGACUGUGAGACGGUUCAAACUGUACAUAUUAUAAGCAUUAGUCAUUUCAGAGGAGAUUUGACCUAGCUGCAAAACCUCCAUUGUGCCCAAAUACAAAUGCAGAACCCUCUCUUCUUCAAAGUCCUGUAAUCUGCCUUGUUUUUUUGAGUGUAAACGUUUUGUAAGCGUCUAAUCACGAGGAUCUAAUAGUUUUUUUAAUCUCCACUCCUGUUUUUACAUGUGGCCAUUGAAAGAACAAAAGGUUAUUUUGGGCUAUUAUAUAAAAGAUUAAAAUUAUGAUCGUACCUAAUUGUUUAAUUUCUAUUUUUAUAAACAAUGUACACGUUUGUAUAAACAGUAUUUUCAUUAAAC